GACGAACGCUGGCGGCGUGCCUAACACAUGCAAGUCGAACGGGGUACCCGAUACGGAGACUUCGGUCAAAGUAUUGGACUACCUAGUGGCGGACGGGUGAGUAACGCGUGAGUAACCUGCCGAGAAGAGGGGAACAACACAUCGAAAGGUGUGCUAAUACCGCAUGAGACCACAGAGUCGCAUGACUGAGGGGUCAAAGAUUUAUCGGUGAUAGAUGGGCUCGCGUCUGAUUAGCUAGUUGGUGAGGUAACGGCCCACCAAGGCAACGAUCAGUAGCCGACCUGAGAGGGUGAUCGGCCACAUUGGAACUGAGAAACGGUCCAAACUCCUACGGGAGGCAGCAGUGGGGAAUAUUGGGCAAUGGGGGGAACCCUGACCCAGCAACGCCGCGUGAAGGAAGAAGGUCUUCGGAUCGUAAACUUCUAUCCUUGGUGAAGAUAAUGACGGUAGCCGAGAAGGAAGCCCCGGCUAACUACGUGCCAGCAGCCGCGGU
rnacentral:rRNA from 1 species